rnacentral:rRNA from 1 species
AACGAACGCUGGCGGCAUGCCUAACACAUGCGAGUCGAACGAGACCUUCGGGUCUAGUGGCGCACGGGUGCGUAACGCGUGGGAACCUGCCCUUAGGUUCGGAAUAACUCCCCGAAAGGGGUGCUAAUACCGGAUAAUGUCUUCGGACCAAAGAUUUAUCGCCUUUGGAUGGGCCCGCGUUGGAUUGGCUAGUUGGUAGGGUAAAAGCCUACCAAGGCGACGAUCCAUAGCUGGUCUGAGAGGAUGAUCAGCCACACUGGGACUGAGACACGGCCCAGACUCCUACGGGAGGCAGCAGUGGGGAAUAUUGGACAAUGGGCGAAAGCCUGAUCCAGCAAUGCCGCGUGAGUGAUGAAGGCCUUAGGGUUGUAAAGCUCUUUUACCCGGGAUGAUAAUGACAGUACCGGGAGAAUAAGCUCCGGCUAACUCCGUG